UAAUUUGGAGAUUCCAGAACCUAAAGAAGCUAUCUACCAUCAAAGUGAAGACAAAGAUGUCUAUCAUACUGUGGAACAAGACAGCUUUCCCCAGGAAAUGGUUAACAGGCCACCUGUUCCUGUUCCAAGACCUGAUCCCUCCUCCAUACAACAAGACAAAGAACCAUACAUUUAUAAAGUAUUUACAGGAAAAGAUCAGGAGAAAUCUGGGAAUCUUUAUGUUUCUGCAAAAAACAUUGGCAAAG